CGGGGUGCAGCAGGCGCGAAAACUUUACAAUGCGGGAAACCGUGAUAAGGGGACACCGAGUGCCAGCAUCAUAUGCUGGCUGUCCGGGUGUGUAAAAUACACCUGUUAGCAAGGGCCGGGCAAGACCGGUGCCAGCCGCCGCGGUAACACCGGCGGCCCGAGUGGUGAUCGUGAUUAUUGGGUCUAAAGGGUCCGUAGCCGGUUUGGUCAGUCCUCCGGGAAAUCUGAUAGCUCAACUAUUAGGCUUUCGGGGGAUACUGCCAGACUUGGAACCGGGAGAGGUAAGAGGUACUACAGGGGUAGGAGUGAAAUCUUGUAAUCCCUGUGGGACCACCUGUGGCGAAGGCGUCUUACCAGAACGGGUUCGACGGUGAGGGACGAAAGCUGGGGGCACGAACCGGAUUAGAUACCCGGGUAGUCCCAGCCGUAAACGAUGCUCGCUAGGUGUCAGGCAUGGCGCGACCGUGUCUGGUGCCGCAGGGAAGCCGUGAAGCGAGCCACCUGGGAAGUACGGCCGCAAGGCUGAAACUUAAAGGAAUUGGCGGGGGAGCAC
rnacentral:rRNA from 1 species